GCUGUCAGCACAGAGCCCGACACGGGGCUUGAACCCACGGACCGCGAGAUCACGACCUGAGCUGAAGUCGGACGCUGAACUGACUGAGCGGCCUGGACGCCCGGGAACGUGCAUUCUUGAUUGCUGCCAGCUCUGCAGUAAGCUCGGUGUUAAAGGCUCUGUCGCCAUAAGAGGAGAGCAUUCCAACGGGACCUGCUUGAAAAACCUACCCGAUAUUUGGCAGCCGCAGAAGCUUGUGUUAGGUUCUAUUAUAAAUAAACUUGACAGUGCAUGGAAAAGUCCCGUAUCCCUGAACUGGAAGGAGGGUGUGCUGUGUUUGAAUCGGGGACAGUGAAAGCCCCCUCUCAGACCUGCGGACUUAGUCUGAAGAAGCAUGCACGCAUCCACACUGCGCCCACCGCCCCCCCCCCCCCCGCCAGCGCCCCCCGGUCAGCCACGGGGCACAGGGGGAGUUUACAGCUGGACCGCCACGCUUGAAAGCCAAUUCAACAUUAAGAAUAACCACGGCCUUUUGCCAACAUGGUGUGUCAUAUUUAUUGGGCUAUUCACAGGUCAGCUAAAACAGGAGGAAAGGAAAGACCAGAUGACAUCAGUAACGUCAGGAAACAAAAUAUUUAGCAUUUCUUAAGUUUCAAAUUUUGCAUUCCGUUGCAGCUGAGGAAUAUAGGCAAUUCAUUAACAUAA